UACGUAGGGUGCGAGCGUUAAUCGGAAUUACUGGGCGUAAAGCGUGCGCAGGCGGUGAUGUAAGACCGAUGUGAAAUCCCCGGGCUUAACCUGGGAACUGCAUUGGUGACUGCAUUGCUGGAGUAUGGCAGAGGGGGGUGGAAUUCCACGUGUAGCAGUGAAAUGCGUAGAGAUGUGGAGGAACACCGAUGGCGAAGGCAGCCCCCUGGGCAAAUACUGACGCUCAUGCACGAAAGCGUGGGGAGCAAACAGG
rnacentral:rRNA from 1 species